UUUCCGUAGGUGAACCUGCGGAAGGAUCAUUACCGAGUUAGGGUCUCUCAGGCCCCACCUCCCACCCUGCUUCUUUCCUACCUUGUUGCUUCGGCGCGCCCGCCUCCAUGACAGGCCGCCAGAAGCCCACCGCUCUGUGCCCGUGCCCGCCAGUACCCCCCUUAACUUCAUAAUAAACCUGUCUUCCGAGACCAGAUAUAAUAAAAAAAACUUUCAACAACGACGCACUUGGUUCUGGCAUCGCUGAAGAAAGCUGCAGACCCGAAUCCCACACGCGUU
rnacentral:misc_RNA from 1 species